GCUGGGCGUGGUGGCUCAUGCCUGUAAUCCCAGCACUUUGGGAGGCCGAGGUGGGUGGAUCACCUGAGGUCAGGAGUUCAAGACCAGCCUGGCCAACAUGGUGAAACCCCAUCUCUA
ensembl:misc_RNA Metazoa_SRP Metazoan signal recognition particle RNA